GAUUUUAUUGGGCAAGAGCCAACUUUCCUCCACCUUGUUCUCCAUCUAGUACGCACAGCAAAGGAGAAAAGACCAACAUCAAGUUGAUUACUCAUUCUGGUCAGGAAGAUAAACUAGUCAUCCCAUGUGUACAAAGCCGCGAGCUCCUAGGGAGAACACCCCAAACACCUAAGCCCAUCCUUUGAUACUCCUCUCUUGAUUCAAUCGUCCACCAAGCCAAAAAACACGCAGACCCCUUUCUUCUCCUACUCCCCUCAAGCCGCGAGUUAUCUAAGAGGGGAACAACCAUUCAAGUUUCCAUUUUCCCUGUAUGGUGCGGCUGAGUGGCAGCAAGCAGCCAAGAAGAACGCACCAUGAGUCCAUUUUCUUGCUUGUCUUGUUCGGCCGUGAGUUACAUGUUACCUUUUCGGUUCUUAAAGGAACUCCCCUGCAUGCAGCAGCAACCCGACUUAUGACAAGAAAAACCAGCAACCUUGAGUUUUGACUCAAGCUUCUUUCUUCGCAAGAACAAUGAAAGGUGAAGGUGCUGUCCUCUUAUGGUUGGGGCACACGAACUGAUUUUGGGAGCUGGUUGGGAACAUAUGCAAGGUGCGCAAGAUCCUAGCUCAUUGGAUUGUUUGAUUGAUAUUUGGCUGUCUGAAUAAUGCUUGGACUCACAAGGAGGACGCAAAAGCAUAUGAGGACAUGGAUUAUUUGGAUAUUUGCUGUUAAAUUCUGCUGUUUGGGAUUUUUGCUGCUGUCUGCUUGUCUUAUGGAUGUUGGCUGUCUAUGAUAUAUGAUGUAAUAUUUUGGAAGAUUAGACUACUGUUGAAAUAUGUUUUAUUUUGAUGUUUUCAAGACUUUUAUAAUCAGUUAUUACUUUGGAAAAAAAUUCCUGGUUACGUUUUGCGUAAACAAUUUCUUAACGUUUUGGAAUCA